GGGCUUGAAGGCAGUGCCAAUGGGCAGUGGUGGAUAGGCAGUAUUGGCAAAACACUUGAUGAGGGGAUAUCCUUCCACAGAGUUGGUUCAAGGCAGUGGCAGGACUACUUAUUGCUGCAUGGGCAACGAAUGACCUUAGGCCACAUGUUGGUGUUGUUGAUGCUGCUGCAGUGCCAUGUGGCUUGGGGCGCGCUAUUGGCAACAAGCAUUACAUGAACUUGAUCCGGUGUUCAAAAAGUUUUCUUUCUCAGAGAGUGUUGCAAGCUUGUUCUCUUCUUUAGGCUACAAGAGGCCUGCAGUCAUUCAAUCUAUGUACAUAUUUAAGCAACCAGGUAUUGGUGGUGAGGUCGUGCCGCACCAGGAUAAUACAUUCCUUUACACGGAACCUCGUACAUGCACAGGGUUGUGGCUUGCACUUGAAGAUGCAACAAUCAACAAUGGUUGCCUGUGGGCAAUUCCAGGAUCACAUAAAAAGGGUUUGGUGAGACUUAUGGUCAGAGAUGAAAAUGGUACACAUUUUGAUCGGCCCUCCCCAGUCUAUGAUCAGAAAGAAUUUGUACCGCUGGAAGUAAAAUCUGGUGCUUUGGUGGUUAUACAUGGAGAUCUUAUACAUCAGAGUUUUGAGAACCUUUCUCCAGCGUCAAGACAUGCAUUCAGCUUACAUGUAGUGGAUACUGAAGGAUGUAAAUGGUCCGAAGACAACUGGCGCAAGCAAGCUACGCCUACAAAAGAAGCAUCUGCUCUUUACGCUGCUCAGUCUCAUCUCGUGCAAGGCGAAAGAUUUCUCAUUCCGGUGUGGUGGCCCAAUCCCUUCUACGUGAUUACAAAGGGCAGCUUCAUUUCAUCCCUAGACUGUUGUCGUCCCAAUUUCUUGCCCCACCCUUCAUCUUAGUUUCUUGCUCGUUUCAGCCCUUUUUCUAUGUGACACACCCUAUGGUCCAUUCACCUUUGCGUUGUGCAGGAUUACUUCAGUAGAUUUUGGUUCAAUAGAAUUUGCGUGUCUUAGUAUAUUUUGCUUCUGUAAUGAUCUAUAAAGUUGGGACUCAUCCUCUCAAUUCUACUUAAUGUGCUAUUCAUGACUUUUCAGAUUCUUAGGUCGGUGCCAGUUCGUUCAAUGCUCAUACCUCACUACUGGCAAGGGAUAAGAGUUGGGUGAAGAGCUUGGAAAGACUCAGCCACUCAGCUGAGUGCAGAGUUGGGUGAAAGGCUCAAGUAUCCUUCCAGUAUGAGUCAUGUGGUUUUAAAGUCUUAGAAAAUGCAGCAGCAGAUGUUUCUUUAUCCUCCAAAAUAGAUGGCAAAGACAGAAUAGAAGAUGGGAACAGGUCGAUGGUACAAAGGUUUAGAUCUCAACUGACCCAUCAGAUGGAUGCCUUGCAUAAAACCGUAUCAAGUUCUGUUGCAGUUCUAUCAUGCAACAGAAGGACCACCUUAAUGAAAUGAAACAUGAAAGUGGUUAGAGCCGAAGGUCUUGUUGAA